rnacentral:rRNA from 1 species
CGGAAUGGAUAAGCGCUGAAAGCAUCUAAGCGCGAAGCCAACUUCAAGAUAAGAUUUCCCACCGCAAGGGUAAGACUCCAGAAAGACUAUCUGGUUGAUAGGUCGAAGGUGUAAGUGCAGCAAUGUAUUUAGCUUAUCGAUACUAAUAGGUCGAGGACUUGACCAA